GGACUAAUAUAUCGGUCGUGCCUCGGUACGUACUGGUAUUUUUGGUUUCUCCCUUCUGACGAACCUUGACGUCAUUAAUUUGGUGUCUUGGGGAAUCAGGACUGUUACUUUGAAAAAAUUAGAGUGUUUAAAGCAGGCUCACGCUUGAAUACAUUAGCAUGGAAUAAUGAAAUAGGACGUUUGAUUCUAUUUUGUUGGUUUCUAGGAUCGACGUAAUGAU
rnacentral:rRNA from 1 species